GGGCGGUGUGUAUGCCAUCCCAGAGUCCAUGAUCUCUGAUAUGAAUGUAGAAACUCCUCCAAAAAAAUCAGUGAAUAAGGAGAAGCAUUGAGAGGCUCUGAUUCAGUAACCUGUUUUACCACAAUUCAAAAAUGUUCUCAGGUCAGUGUUAGGAGAACGUGAAGGGAAUAGGAGUUCCCUUUGACUGCAGCAGAGUCUUAUUCAACGGCUUCUUGGCACUAUCCUUCUGGAUCUGCAUAAAAGGACAAGCUACUGGGGAAGGAAAUAAUAAGGUGGAAAUAAACCAGUGUUGCCAAGGGUUAGACAAUCUGUGGAUAUUCAGUGAAUACCCUCCUGGGUUGUGAAGGGCUGGUGCCUUUUUUACUCACUGCAGAAUGCCCUAGAUUUUACAAUCUUGAACUUCCAGCCUGAAUAACAGCACUCUACUUCUCUCUGAACAGCAGCAAGAUAAAGCUGGGAACAAGCAAAGUUGCAGUGGUUACUAGGGAGCUACAUACACAAAAGCAAUACAGAGAAAGGUACUUCUUUUCAGGAAGUCUAGGACAACUUUUUGAGAUGAAGUACCUACAAUUACCAGCUUGCCUGAUGGAUAUUAAACAAAGGAAAAAUAAAACAUUAAACCCAAAGCAGAGGACAAUGAGAAUCUACAGCAGCAAGUUACCAGAACAACCAGCACUUAAGGCAUCCUAAAAAUCUUCCUCCAGGCUGCUGUCCUCCAUGCUUCACUGUUUUGUGAGCUGGACCUUUCCAGUGCUUGGAUCUACCCCAGCAAGCGGCACCAUGACUUCUCCAAUCACAUCAUCUCGUGAGAAACGAUCAAAGCUCAACACCAGGAAGUGGAGCACCAAAUCCUGGAGCUGGCUGUAGG